rnacentral:rRNA from 1 species
UACGGGGGGGGCAAGCGUUGUUCGGAAUUACUGGGCGUAAAGGGCUCGUAGGUGGCCAACUAAGUCAGACGUGAAAUCCCUCGGCUUAACCGGGGAACUGCGUCUGAUACUGGAUGGCUUGAGAUUGGGAGAGGGAUGCGGAAUUCCAGGUGUAGCGGUGAAAUGCGUAGAUAUCGGGAGGAACACCUGUGGCGAAGGCGGCCGCCUGGUUGGAGUACUGACGCUGAGACGCGAAAGCGUGGGGAGCAAACAGGG